rnacentral:tRNA from 1 species
UCCUGGUUAGCUCAGUCGGUAGAGCGCUCCAGUGGAAAUGGAGAGUUUCCUGGUUUGAUACCAGAACCAGGCG